rnacentral:rRNA from 1 species
ACGCUUCUUUUUCCACCGGAGCUUGCUCCACCGGAAAAAGAGGAGUGGCGAACGGGUGAGUAACACGUGGGUAACCUGCCCAUCAUAAGGGGAUAACACUUGGAAACAGGUGCUAAUACCGUAUAACAAUCGAAACCGCAGGUUUUGAUUUGAAAGGCGCUUUCGGGUGUCGCUGAUGGAUGGACCCGCGGUGCAUUAGCUAGUUGGUGAGGUAACGGCUCACCAAGGCCACGAUGCAUAGCCGACCUGAGAGGGUGAUCGGCCACAUUGGGACUGAGACACGGCCCAAACUCCUACGGGAGGCAGCAGUAGGGAAUCUUCGGCAAUGGACGAAAGUCUGACCGAGCAACGCCGCGUGAGUGAAGAAGGUUUUCGGAUCGUAAAACUCUGUUGUUAGAGAAGAACAAGGAUGAGAGUAACUGUUCAUCCCUUGACGGUAUCUAACCAGAAAGCCACGGCUAACUACGUGCCAGCAGCCGCGGUAAUACGUAGGUGGCAAGCGUUGUCCGGAUUUAUUGGGCGUAAAGCGAGCGCAGGCGGUUUCUUAAGUCUGAUGUGAAAGCCCCCGGCUCAACCGGGGAGGGUCAUUGGAAACUGGGAGACUUGAGUGCAGAAGAGGAGAGUGGAAUUCCAUGUGUAGCGGUGAAAUGCGUAGAUAUAUGGAGGAACACCAGUGGCGAAUGCGGCUCUCUGGUCUGUAACUGACGCUGAGGCUCGAAAGCGUGGGGAGCAAACAGGAUUAGAUACCCUGGUAGUCCACGCCGUAAACGAUGAGUGCUAAGUGUUGGAGGGUUUCCGCCCUUCAGUGCUGCAGCUAACGCAUUAAGCACUCCGCCUGGGGAGUACGACCGCAAGGUUGAAACUCAAGGAAUUGACGGGGGCCCGCACAAGCGGUGGAGCAUGUGGUUUAAUUCGAAGCAACGC